UGGCGGACUGUUACUGUCAAAGAUGUUUACUAAAAUUUCAAUCCCAAAUACAUAUUUUCUUUAUAUUUUAGGAAAAUUGUAUAUCUUGUCUAUAGAAAUGUGUCCACAAGAAAACAAACAGAAAAAUCCUUUCCACUGUAAUCUAAAACGCUUAAGGCUUCAAAUGGAGGUUCAAAGGAGGAGCAACUCAUUCAAUCGGUGAAUUACAUAUAUUGAAGUGAAUUGAUAUAAAAUGUAUGGAGAUGCUCGAUGAUGUAGAAUCUGAAGUCUCCUAACCCAACUAUAAUUGAAACGGAAUUGCUUGGCAUUUCUACUGGAUUUUCUUGUUUCUUCCAUAUACGAUGGUUGGAUUAUAAGAGUGGACUAAUUUAUAAAGAUAAUGUUAUCAUAAAUGCAAGAAUGAAGAAGUUGCAAGAAGAAAAUUAUAUAAACUUUACUUUCAUGAAGUUUUAUUGGAAAUGAAGGAUGGAAGUUUUAAGACCCAAGAAUUAAGGCUUGCUAAUUUUUUUUCAGACGGGAAUGUGUGAUAGAUAUGAAUGGAAAACAUUAGAUGAAAGAAUGAAGGAACAGAAAUCUUUCUCUUAUUCCUACAAAAUGUUGAAAGCAUGCCGCUCUGAAAGAAGUUGUCAUCUCCGUUUAUUGAAAACUGAAUACAAAUGGAUUGAGAGGGUCCAGGAAGAUUCAAGCGAAAUAGAUGCCGAAAAUGGCUAAGCCAAGAUGUUGAAUAAUUGUAAUGUUUGGGGUAGAGUGGUAAGAAAACCUCAUUUAUGCAUCAGGAGACUCAACACCUUGUCAAGUUAUGGAACUAAGUGAUACAAAGAGAAGAAUUAAUCUCGAAUGGAAGAAAAACCUGUUCAAAUUGCUGUGCCUUGGAUCAAGUAAAUAAAUCAAGUCAUUAGCAGAAAAUUUUUAUUCGAUAAACAAUAUUUUGGACCAAGGUAUACCUAAAAGAAAAAUUUUAAGUGUUUUUGAAUUGACUGAAGAUUACACCUUGAGAAGAAACUAUUUUAGUUAUCAGUGUCAUGGCGGUAGAUGUAAUUGACAAUUGAUCCAGAAUCCAGUAGAAUAGAAUAGUAUUAAUGAUAAUUGAGAGAAUACCUGUGAAUAGUAUAAGUGACUACUUGCUACCUAUCACCAGCAUUAUUAUUCUUAGGUUUGAAAUGUAGAAGUAAAUACUCAUUUCUCUGAUUGUAUUAGAUUUUAUAAGAGUUGUUUCCUUUGUGACAUUUUUUUGUUCAAUGUUGAUAUGCAUGAUAUGAGUAUAUCUGGUUAUAUUUCAAGUUAUUUCAUCAGAUGAAAGUGUCCAACUAUAAUUUUGUAAAUGGAGGGGAACACUGAUCAUGUCUUUCAAAGAACACUUUAACAACUUCAGCUCCUGUUAUGCAGAAACAAAAUUGUUGUUUGUGACAGGAAGAUGCAAUAGAGACAAUAGUUGAAGUAAAUGAUGAAAAUUGUUUGUAUUUCCAUUGAAGAAUAAUCAUUUUUAACUGCCAAAAAUGUAAGGACUGUAAUUUAGGAGACUCAGGUUCUCUGUCACACUUGGUUUUUAUUCCUUUUGUUAUUUGUUGUGAAAAAAAAAUCCAACAUUUUUGUAAGAAGUUACAAGUUUCCAGAAAUAUUACUGUAUUCUCAUCCCUUGAAGUACAUACUUUCAUUUGUGCAGUACAAUAUUUGAAAAUAAAACAUCUUUAAUGAUA